rnacentral:rRNA from 1 species
GAUGAACGCUGGCGGCGUGCCUAAUACAUGCAAGUCGAGCGAGCGGACGAGAAGCUUGCUUCUCUGAUGUUAGCGGCGGACGGGUGAGUAACACGUGGAUAACCUACCUAUAAGACUGGGAUAACUUCGGGAAACCGUAGCUAAUACCGGAUAAUAUUUUGAACCGCAUGGUUCAAAAGUGAAAGACGGUCUUGCUGUCACUUAUAGAUGGAUCCGCGCUGCAUUAGCUAGUUGGUAAGGUAACGGCUUACCAAGGCAACGAUGCAUAGCCGACCGGAGAGGGUGAUGGACCCCACUGGAACUGAAUCACGCACGAUAUUCAUACGGGGGGCAGCAGGAGGCCAACGUCCACAAUGGGCGUAAACGUUACGGGGCAACGGCGCGCGAGUGAUGAAGGUCGUAGGAUCGUAAAACCCUGUUAUUACGGAAGAACAUAUGUGUAAGUAACUGUGCACAUCGUGACGGUACCUAAUCAGAAAGCCACGGCUAACUACGUG